UGCUGAGCCUCUGUUCAAAUUGAUAAUGGGAUUUUCAGUGCUUAAUUUGGAUGGGUUGCCUGGUCUUGCACCUUUUGAGGAUUCCCAUACAACUAGCUGCAAAUUGAAGUUGUAAA